GUACGUGUACGUGUCUUAGGUAC
rnacentral:siRNA from 1 species